AUUGAACGCUGGCGGCAGGCCUAACACAUGCAAGUCGAGCGGAUGAAGGGAGCUUGCUCCUGGAUUCAGCGGCGGACGGGUGAGUAAUGCCUAGGAAUCUGCCUGGCAGUGGGGGAUAACGUCCGGAAACGGGCGCUAAUACCGCAUACGUCCUGAGGGAGAAAGUGGGGGAUCUUCGGACCUCACGCUAUCAGAUGAGCCUAGGUCGGAGUAGCUAGAUGGUGGGGUAAAGGCCUACCAAGCCGACGAUCCGUAACUGGUCUGAGAGGAUGAUCAGUCACACUGGAACUGAGACACGGUCCAGACUCCUACGGGAGGCAGCAGUGGGGAAUGUUGGACAGUAGGCGAAAGCCUGGUCCAGCCAUGCCGCGUGUGUGAAGAAGGUCUUCGGAUUGUAAAGCACUUUUAGUUGGGAGGAAGGGCAGUAAGUUGAUACCUUGCUGUUUUGACGUUACCGACAGAAUAAGCACCGGCUAACUUCGUG
rnacentral:rRNA from 1 species